CUUUAGACUCUCGUACAGCUAAUAUCCGGCGCGGCGUCCGCUUCUGCCCUCGGACGACGAACGACGAUUCAAGACCUCCCAGGCCACUAACACGAAUAUUCAGGGUGUAACAGAUGAGACAAGAGAAGAUUUGUGAGACAACAAUAGGUACGAGAAGAAGGAUAGACCAAGGCUAUGUACCGCAGAGAAACGAAGAAAGGGAAGACGACGCGUAGCUACACGUAUUCACGGGAGGAAGACUCGUGGACAGGCGGAUAGGAAGACGAACGAAGAGAGAGAGAGAGAGUUUACAGUAUCUAUAUGCACAACGUCGUGUAAUCCUGCCGGUUCACGUACAGGGUGUUCGUGAUUAUCCGACAUCCCGAGCAAGCAAUUUCUCAUGGUCACUCGAGAGCCGUAGCCAUCAACCUGUGAGCAGAGCAUGAUGAAAUUUUUAUGAGCUUUGAAAUCAGAGGAUGUUUGGACUCCCGCAUAAACGUUGGCAACCUUGUUUAUACUCAUGGAUGAGCAAAGGGAGCCGAACCGCGAGGACCAGGACGUAACAAAGCAUUCUGUGCAAACCUUCAGAGUAGAACGUAUCGUUGUUCACGAGCCUAAUUAAUAAAGAAUGUAACUAUCGUAAAGAAAUUGUUGGUCUUUGCAGACCUUAGUGUAAAUGUUUCAUUAAAAAUGGACACUUUAUUAGUGCCCAUUAAA